CAGCAGCCGCGGUAAUACGGAGGAUCCAAGCGUUAUCCGGAAUCAUUGGGUUUAAAGGGUCCGUAGGCGGUCUUGUAAGUCAGUGGUGAAAGCCCAUCGCUCAACGGUGGAACGGCCAUUGAUACUGCAGGACUUGAAUUAUUGGGAAGUAACUAGAAUAUGUAGUGUAGCGGUGAAAUGCUUAGAGAUUACAUGGAAUACCAAUUGCGAAGGCAGGUUACUACCAAUUGAUUGACGCUGAUGGACGAAAGCGUGGGUAGCGCACAGGAUUAGAUACCCCUGUAGUCCCUGUCUCUUAUAC
rnacentral:rRNA from 1 species